AUUUGGCUCGCAGGCUUCUUCAGAAUCCUAGUGAGUAUAUGCAACCGUUGGUUGAUGCUUUAACCGAUAUGAUCCGGACCCAUAAUCCCAAGUACCUUAAAGAAGGCGAGCAAGUCUUGGUUGGGUUUACUGGUCCUUUUGUUUCGAGGAGAGUAACCCCAAGAGAGCUGUUGUCCCGUUUCAUUGGUUCCAUGGUUUGCGUUGAAGGCAUUGUUACCAAGUGUUCUCUUGUGAGGCCAAAGGUUGUAAAGAGCGUCCACUUUUG
rnacentral:misc_RNA from 1 species